rnacentral:lncRNA from 1 species
CUUGCAAGGGGCUCACUCUUCCCCAUAGGUCUCAUGAGGUUGGCAGUCAACACGCGUCACUCCAAAAGUAGUGCCUCCUAUUUAUUUCCACAGAAACCACAGCAGAUACAAAGAGCACAAUAAUGCUGUUUGAUAGAGCAAAUUCUCAGCUACAGAACGCUACUUCUCAGCAUAGUCACCACCAUUAGCCACAAUGAAAAGAGCCUGUAUGAGCCACGCUCAUCAAAAUCUGCACCAGCAGAGGUGACCCACUGUCACUGUUACCGCUAAUGAAACGCCCCCCACCGCCUCACUGUGCUCACAUCCACUGGUUGUCCUCCAUAAACAUUCAGCAAGCACUGAUGGAUGUCAGUGGGUGUCACGUUUUCCACAUGGAGGAAUUUAAUGGCAGACCUUUGCCUCAUCUGCUUCCACGCGCACUUCCACGUUGACACGUCAGGGGCCCUUUUGCCAGACCACCUCUCUACUGCCAUCAGUACACAACAACAAAAUGUAACUGAAUAUUUGUGGGGGGGUUUCAACCUCUACUACCAUCCUACUACUACCAUUGUCUUAUCGAAAAGAGAAAGAAUCUUGUAAGUUGGGUUGUGCUAUCUGCUGGCAUGGUUGUUGAAGAUUUGGCUGAUAGUUUUCUUCCUGCCUGCCCCCUCAUUUCCUCUACUUCUCUCCGUCAGUUCAGCUGUUCACACCUGAAGAGUGAGGCCCUGUAACUGUUGGAGCACGCAGACAGCUGGCGUAGAUCGCUCAGUAGGACCUUGAGGACCAUCCAGUUGCAAACCCCUGCGUGGGCUGGUUGCCACCCACCCGAUGGGGCAGCCUGGGGCCUCAUCCAGCCUGGCCUAAAGCACCUCCAGGACUGGGGCGCCCACAGCUUCUUUGUGCAAGCUGGGCAUAACUGAAGUGAGGAGUGGUGUGAGGAGAGUCUGGGGUUGAAGACUUUCUAUCAAAGACUUCAGAUUCUUGAUGAGACUGACAUUCAGAGUCUGAUUUCAGAUUGCAGCUUAUCGUCUGAUUUGCCCUUUGCUUGUAGCUAAAUGCAAGAACCAAGCUGUAUCAGUGAAUCCAGACUUGAUAGAUAACCUCUUCUGAAAUGGUAGUGUACAUUAUAGGCUACACUGGGGCUGAGUGUAAGUGCAGUGCAGAGGUCAGUUCCAGCAGCAUCAGAUAGUUAAGAACAAGAUGCCAUGCUCUUAUCACUUUGUGUAGCACAUCUCUCCCAAGUUCAGGCAACAGCAAAAGAGGGGGAAAAAAAAAACCAGUAAAAUUUCACACAGUUGCUAUGAGCAACACCAGCCACAUCAACCUCAACAUCAACCACAGCUGAAGGAAACAGCCAUGCUCCGGACUGUAGAUUACAAAUCUGACCAUUGUGUUUCCUUAUAACAGCUGCAACUUGAAUUAGGUUUUAGCUCCAACGUUUUGGAGAGCACUCCCCCCCUUACACAACCAUGCAGCACACACACAGGUGUUGCCUCUAGCUACUGCCAUGGCCACUGCUUGCAUUUGCUGGCACACCACUGGAUGCUUCACCAAGAAAAUCGCUUGGCAAGGGCCCAGCCAAUUGCUGACGUUCCAUGUGAGCACAGAUUUCUGAUGGCUCUGAGCCAUGCCUACUGCCUACAGCAAAUAGUGUGGUGGACACUCGUAGCCUCCCAGGAGCAUGGAUAAGGGUAACCACAGUUUUCACAGUCGCCUCCUUCCUGCCAGUGCAAAAGCCUGCCGUGCAGAAAAGCGAGUACAACAGCCAUUUUUCGUGCCAGCAAUGAAAUCAGUACUGCAUCCACUUUCAUUGAUGGCACCUGCCACUGUCAGGAAGAAGUGCUUACACGGUGACAAUUCCUGCUGUCAUUUCAAGAUACCGAGUAAGUGACCUCUAAGUUAUGUCUUCAGUAAUUGGUGAGAAUGUAGUAUCCCGUUCCUUACCGACUGCAGUAGCAACUUCUCUUCUUGUCGGAGUUUAUGUACACGUGGGUUUUGUUUUUUACAGCCCAGACUCCCUCAGUUCUCAUCCUUUCACCACGUUUGAUAACUGCCCAUCUCUGUGUUUGGCCACAGCUGCUCUGUGCUGUUGGAGCUGCAGUGAGAAUUCAGCUCAGCGGCACAUUAGGCGCUUGGCCAGCAGUUUGUGCUGUUACUGUUUUGGUGCCAGCAUUGCUUUGAGUGUCACGGUACCAUUCUACGGCGGUUCCAUACGUCAUAAACACACUUGAUCCUUCAUCUGUGUAAUUCCUAAUUGCAGUUUUACAGGUAAGAUCAAAGCACAGAAGCAUGCAGGCGCUUACCUUGUCCCAAAAUCAGUGAUCAAGUAAUCAGUGCUCAAGUGCUCAUCUCAUGAGACUUGCUUGUGUGGAGCCAUGACUUCAACUCACCAACUAUGUGGAAGAAAACCCCAAAUCUCACGUCCUCGGCCCCUUUGGAGUGGGCCACUUACAUCGUGCCCGCUCAGAGCCUUCCCUUAGCUCUGACAGCGUUUGGCUGCACUAACAGCAACUUCAGCAGUCUGCUGGGCAGUAAUCCCACCUUUCUACAUCGCUGACUGUUCCAAUGUGUGUAAUCAGAGUAAUCCCAAAGAAUGCGUGACAGACACGUACACUGUAGGGGUUUUAUUUAUUUAAGAAUACAUUCAGUGGUGUUACGUUAUCUUCAUUGUCCGAAGCUUUUGCCCCAGGCAGUUGCUUGAUUUGCUACAUUUUUUACAGCUUUCUCACCGGUUUCAGCGACCUUGUAGACCUCAUCGAGAGCUUUCUGACCAGCAUCCUUGGCCUGCUCCACUGCUUGCUGCACAGUCUGCCCCACCGUGUUAACUGCCGCCUGCGCAGCGCUCUCGGCCUGUUGCGUUGCUUCCUCGGCGAGCUUCUUCCCAAUCCCAAACAUGGCUGCUGCUGCUCUGCUCUCCCCACAGAGGAUGGGUGAUGGAGUCUCUAAGUUUGGUUCUGUUACGGUGUUCAGCAAAGUGCAGCUUUAUAUAGACAAAGCAGAACUCCUCCCCGUAGUUAGAGGGCAAACGCAGGCUGAGCGGGACGCGGCGAGCCCUGCUCGGUGAUUAAUACGCCAGGCAUAAAAGGGCGAAGAGGCAUUAGUGUUUGUUGUGCUUUCCUCCCCAGAGAGGGGGUGGGGAUUCAUCGGCAGAAGUUUUCCAUGGCCCAGGAAUCAAAGCUUUGUUUUCCAUGGCAAGAAGUUGGUAAACAGAGCGCAUUCCACAGCUGUCCUUACAAAACCUUCCCAGGAGGCUGCCGGGGCCAAAAAACACC